CAUGCCUGGAGGGGGCGGCACACCGGACACACCAGACGCCACUGAACUUUUGACUAGAAACACUCCGCUGUGGGCAGUAACUACGGAGAACAACAUAUAGGUCGCCUAUUCAAACCAAAGGCGUAGCUUGAUGAUGCCAAGUUUGAGCGAGGAAUCUUGGGACAUGUGGUCUUCACCUCACAGCCAGUGGAAAAGAAUCGGGAUAGGACUUGGGCAGAAAUGUUCAUGGAUGAGAUUAUUAACAUUACUGUAGUAUGAGGCAGAGCAGGACCGAGUGUUGUGGGAGCUGAACGAGGCCGCUGGAGCGAUUGCUAAUAACAGACGAAGGCAACACAUGCCGCGAGCAUUUAUUAUGCCACAGUCGCCGGCACCGCUUCCGCUUUUCCAGUGAUGAGUAUGAGGUAACGCAGCACUGUUUAUCAUAUUAGAUACAUUUGAAUGUGUUGAAAAUGAUGUUAUAACGUUACUCUGUGCGUUCGCUUGAUGGCUGCUGUGAGACACUUGUUACACACUGCAGUAAGCUAGAUUGAUAUUAGAAUAUCAUAUUAAAUGCUGGAUGGCUUGUGUUGAUAAAUGGCAUGCAAUUCAUUUUAAAACAUAUUGUAUGAUGGAGAAAAUUCUGUAUUACUGUUACUAAAAAUAAAGCUGCAUCUGAUUAUGCUAUGUUAGCUACUUCACAAAAUAGUGUUUUUCUCUGAGGCAUGGUAAAGCAUGGUACUCGCAAAAAAUUAAGAAAAUUAGAUUUAAACAACAAGACUAAACAUGUUGAGCUAUAUAACAAUAAUUCGUUUUCUGUCUAUAAAUGUAACCAAACAGUUGUUCCCUUGUCUAAUAAAACAUGUAAAUAUUAAAGCGUCUUUGGUGUUUCCAUGGUUUCUACAAAAUAAAACCGGAAACCGAGGGUAACGCGGGUAUGACGCAAUUGACAGGCAACUCCUCAUACGUCCCGGAGCCUUGGUUAAAAUAGCAAUUUUCUCAUGAUUUACAAAUAGUUGGAAACAUUUGUAUAUUGUAAGUACUCAACUGAACAAAAUAUAUAACACUGGCCAAAAAUAUCCUUAUUAAAAAAAAAAAAAAAAAAAAAA